UAGCGAGGGGGAAUUUGGCUUUUUCUGGGAAUUUUGUUUUUUUUUCCUUCAGAAAUUCCCUGUCCCGAGAGAUUCCCAGGAGCCAAUGGGCAGUGGAGGAGCUCAGGGAAGCCUCGGGGGAGCAAAGGGUCCUACCUGGAAUCCCGAAAAAAUUCCAGCGGGAAUUCCAACAAUUUUGUGGGAAAAUCCAACCUGCACAGCCACAGCUCCUCCUUUCCCAUCAAACCAGCCCCAAGCCCCUCCUGGAGCCGCCGCAGCCCCAAAAAGACCCCGAGGCGCUUCCUGAGCACCGCUGAGGAGACUGUGCGGGAAGAGGAGCGGGAGAUUUACCGGCAGCUGCUCCAGAUGGUGACGGGGAAACGAUUCUCAGGCUCCAAAUCGUCCCCGCUCUUCCCAUUCCACCUCUCCAGGUGCCCCGAUUCCGGCCAAUCCCUGCUGAAGGAGGCUUCCCGUGAGGAUUCCCGGGCACUGGAAACUCCCAAAAUUCCGGUUUCCGGCCCCAUCCCGCAGUCCCUGGAGCUGCUCCGUCCCAAAAAGGCCCCCCUGGGCCCCUCUGUCCCAGGGUAUCCCGGGGGCUUCCAGCCCCAAAAUUCCAUGGCACCGCAGCAACGGGAGCAGCAGGAGGAGUCUGGUGGCCAGGCUGAAGGUAAAGAUGCCGAAAUCCCAGAAAAAUACCCCAAAACACUCCAAAAUUUUUUUUAAAAAACUAAAU
rnacentral:lncRNA from 1 species